rnacentral:rRNA from 1 species
CUGUCGAAGGUGGGACUGGCGAUUGGGACGAAGUCGUAACAAGGUAGCCGUACCGGAAGGUGCGGCUGGAUCACCUCCUUU